rnacentral:rRNA from 1 species
AACGAACGCUGGCGGCGUGCUUAACACAUGCAAGUCGUACGAGAAACACUCCCUUCGGGGGGUGGAGUAAAGUGGCGCACGGGUGAGUAACACGUGGGUAACCUGCCCACGGGCCUGGGAUAACCCCGCGAAAGCGGUGCUAAUACCGGAUAAGACCACAUGAGCCUCGGCUCAAGGGGUCAAAGUCGGCCUCUCAUAGAAGCCGGCACCCGAGGAGGGGCCCGCGGACCAUUAGCUUGUUGGUGAGGUAACGGCUCACCAAGGCCGAGAUGGUUAGCUGGUCUGAGAGGAUGGCCAGCCACACUGGAACUGAAACACGGUCCAGACUCCUACGGGAGGCAGCAGUGAGGAAUAUUGCGCAAUGGGGGAAACCCUGACGCAGCAACGCCGCGUGGGUGAAGAAGGCCUUCGGGUUGUAAAGCCCUGUCAGGUGGGAAGAACCCCCCGCAGACGAAUACUCUGCGGGCCUGACGGUACCACCAGAGGAAGCACCGGCUAACUCCGUGCCAGCAGCCGCAGUAA